rnacentral:rRNA from 1 species
GAUGAACGCUAGCUACAGGCUUAACACAUGCAAGUCGAGGGGAAACGACAUCGAAAGCUUGCUUUUGAUGGGCGUCGACCGGCGCACGGGUGAGUAACGCGUAUCCAACCUGCCCAUCACUUGGGAAUAACCUUGCGAAAGUAAGACUAAUACCCAAUGAUAUCCCACGAAGGCAUCGGAAUGGGAUUAAAGAUUUAUCGGUGAUGGAUGGGGAUGCGUCUGAUUAGCUUGUUGGCGGGGUAACGGCCCACCAAGGCAACGAUCAGUAGGGGGUCUGAGAGGAAGGUCCCCCACAUUGGAACUGAGACCCGGUCCAAACUCCUACGGGAGGCAGCAGUGAGGAAUAUUGGUCAAUGGGCGAGAGCCUGAACCAGCCAAGUAGCGUGCAGGAAGACGGCCCUAUGGGUUGUAAACUGCUUUUAUAAGGGAAUAAAGUGGGUCACGUGUGACUUUUUGCAUGUACCUUAUGAAUAAGGACCGGCUAAUUCCGUG